rnacentral:tRNA from 1 species
GCCUGGCUGGCUCAAUCAGUAGAGCAUGAGACUCUUGAUCUCAGGGUCAUGAGUUCUGAGCCCCACGUUGUGCA